CUUUUCCCUGGGCGGAAAAAAAAAGAAACAAAAAACAACAAAAACGAAAAGUUACGACACGAGCGGCCAAGGUUUGCGAUCGCAAAACGCGACAGUCGGCGAUCGGGCGAUCGGGUGAUUAACAGCCAAAAAAACACACAAUUAAAAAGUGAAUUUUUUAAAUUUUAUUUGAAACGCGUUCGAAAUUAAAGGGGGAAGGACAGACAGGAAUUUUUCGUUGUCGCCGCGUGAUGUUGGAUUAAAAAAUUAUCCCGAUUAACUCCAUUUGAACUCGACUAUUUGUGUGUGAUCAGCUGAUCAUUCUCACUUCGCUCUCGUCACCUGCCGUCUGGAAGUCUUCAUCUCUUAAAUCAGUCCCGCCACCAGAGAGAGCCGCACACUCACGUCACCUAUUGCAUUUCCCCCUGGGUGCGUGUGGUGUGUGUGUGUGCUGUGCAGUAGCUUCUUCUUCUUCUUCUAAUACCGUCUGGGUGACGUCACCCAAUUAGAGGCGGGACUUACCAUAGGCCUACCACCUUCUCGACCAAUCGCAGCCCUGUGCGAAUCUCCGCCUAUACCCUUGGGUCCUUAUCUCCUCUUUCUCAUUUUUCUGGGCCUACAUUUUGGCUCCGGCCAAUCGCAUUCGUUCCUCUUGAAUUAUUUCCACCGUCGGAACAAAAAAUUAACAAGUUUGAUUCUUUUUUUUGUUUAACAAAUAAUAACGUGGCGGGUGAAACCUGUCGCUAAUGCGGGCAAAGGUUCGGUUCGGUUUCAAAGUGCAGUACUCCACGUGCGACAACUUUUUUUUUUUUUUUUUUUGUACCUUAACGAGGUUGGAUCAAUGGUUUUCACUUGCGAUAGCUUCAGAUGUGUGUGUGUGUCUUUUAUCAUUAUCUAUGCAGCAUCUCAUUCACGCUGUGAAUAAUAAAAUACCGCCGGCCCUUUUCCACCAGUGCCGGACUGAUUUUGACAUGGUGGUUGGUCGCCAGCUUUCACCUAUUCUUUUGCCCUACCAUUUGAAAUUUUUUUUUGGCUGUACAAUUUUUAGAUUAUGUUGAAAGCUUUCUUACUUAAGUUAAAAGCGGAUUAUUUUGUUCUUUUUAGUUUGAUCAAGAAAUUGAGAGGAAAAGGUUAAUUCAGCGAGCCGAAUUGCUUUUAUUAUUUAAUAGUUUUUUAGAUCUUUCAUAAAUUUUUAUUGUUCAUCAGAUACUAUAUAUGACUGAUUAUAUUUCAGUUAAUGCUACACGAAUUUUUCGGUUGGCUCUGCUGGGCUAGAUCCUUUGGUUUUGGUGGUUAUCUUUUGCCGCUUAUCGUUCCUUCCCUUGCAUACAUAUAAUUACUUUGAACAUUAUACAUUGAAAUUCACGUAUAAAUAAAAAAAUGUAUUCAGCCGACAGGCUUA